UGGUUUGUCGCGUCGUUUGUGUAAGCCCGCAGCUUAACUGCGGGACUGCAGGCGAUACGGGCAUAACUUGAGUGCUGUAGGGGAGACUGGAAUUCCUGGUGUAGCGGUGGAAUGCGCAGAUAUCAGGAGGAACACCGAUGGCGAAAGCAGGUCUCUGGGCAGUAACUGACGCUGAGGAGCGAAAGCAUGGGUAUCGAACAGGAUUAGAUACCCUGGUAGUCCAUGCCGUAAACGGUGGGCGCUAUGUGUGAGUCCCUUCCACGGGGUUCGUGCCGUAGCUAACGCAUUAAGCGCCCCGCCUGGGGAGUACGGCCGCAAGGAUAAAACUCAAAGGAAUUGACGGGGGCCCGCGCAAGCGGCGGAGCAUGUGGAUUAAUUCGAUGCAACGCGAAGAAACUUACCUGGGCUUGACAUACACCAGAUCGCCGUAGAGGUACGGUUUCCCUUUGUGGUUGGUGUACAGGUGGUGCAUGGUUGUCGUCAGCUCGUGUCGUGAGAUGUUGGGUUAAGUUCCCCGCAACGAGCGCAACCCUUGUCUUAUGUUGCCAGCAAUUUGGUUGGGGACUCGUGAGAGACUGCCGGGGUUAACCCGGAGGAAGGUGGGGAUGACGUCAAAUCAUCAUGCCCCUUAUGUCCAGGGCUUCACACAUGCUACAAUGGUCGGUACAACGCGUUUGCGAGCCUGUGAGGGUGAGCUAAUCGCUGAAAGCCGGUCGUAGUUCGGAUUGGGGUCUGCAACUCGACCCCAUGAAGUCGGAGUCGCUAGUAAUCGCAGAUC
rnacentral:rRNA from 1 species